rnacentral:rRNA from 1 species
AUGAACGCUGGCGGCGUGCCUAAUACAUGCAAGUCGAGCGAACGGACGAGAAGCUUGCUUCUCUGAUGUUAGCGGCGGACGGGUGAGUAACACGUGGAUAACCUACCUAUAAGACUGGGAUAACUUCGGGAAACCGUAGCUAAUACCGGAUAAUAUUUUGAACCGCAUGGUUCAAAAGUGAAAGACGGUCUUGCUGUCACUUAUAGAUGGAUCCGCGCUGCAUUAGCUAGUUGGUAAGGUAACGGCUUACCAAGGCAACGAUGCAUAGCCGACCUGAGAGGGUGAUCGGCCACACUGGAACUGAGACACGGUCCAGACUCCUACGGGAGGCAGCAGUAGGGAAUCUUCCGCAAUGGUCGAAAGCCUGACGGAGCAACGCCGCGUGUGUGAUGAAGGUCUUCGGAUCGUAAAACUCUGUUAUUAGGGAAGAACAUAUGUGUAAGUAACUGUGCACAUCUUGACGGUACCUAAUCAGAAAGCCACGGCUAACUACGUG